GGCCCUACGGGGUGCAGCAGGCGAGAAAACUUUGCAAUGUGCGAAAGCCCGACAAGGUUAAUCUGAGUGGUUUCUGCUAAAGGAACCUUUUGUUAGUCCUAAAAACACUGAUGAAUAAGGGGUGGGCAAGUUCUGGUGUCAGCCGCCGCGGUAAAACCAGCACCUCAAGUGGUCAGGAUGAUUAUUGGGCCUAAAGCAUCCGUAGCCUGUUCUAUAAGUUUCCGGUUAAAUCCAUACGCUCAACGUAUGGGCUGUCGGAAAUACUGCAGAACUAGGGAGUGGGAGAGGUAGACGGUACUCGAUAGGAAGAGGUAAAAUUCUUUGAUCUAUUGAUGACCACCUGUGGCGAAGGCGGUCUACCAGAACACGUUCGACGGUGAGGGAUGAAAGCUGGGGGAGCAAACCGGAUUAGAUACCCGGGUAGUCCCAGCUGUAAACGAUGCAAACUAGGUGAUGCGUUGGCUUGUUGCUAGCGCAGUGCCUCAGGGAAGCCGUUAAGUUUGCCGCCUGGGAAGUACGUACGCAAGUAUGAAACUUAAAGGAAUUGGCGGGGGAGCAC
rnacentral:rRNA from 1 species